AAGUCGUUGGCGGUAUGCCUUGACUUGCAAGUCGUAUCAGGGUAGCCGUAAGGGUCUGAGGAGUCCUUACCGGGUGAGCAAUACCUCGAAACGUGCCCAAUCGGGGGGGAUAACGGGGCGAAAGCUUUGCUAAUACCGCAUACGAUCUACGGAUGAAAGCGGGGGAUCUUCGGACCUCGCGCGGACGGAGCGGCCGAUGGCAGAUUAGGUAGUUGGUGGGAUAAAAGCUUACCAAGCCGACGAUCUGUAGCUGGUCUGAGAGGAUGAUCAGCCACACUGGGACUGAGACACGGCCCAGACUCCUACGGGAGGCAGCAGUGGGGAAUUUUGGACAAUGGGCGAAAGCCUGAUCCAGCCAUGCCGCGUGCAGGAUGAAGGCCUUCGGGUUGUAAACUGCUUUUGUACGGAACGAAAAGCCUCUUUCUAAUAAAGAGGGGUCAUGACGGUACCGUAAGAAUAAGCACCGGCUAACUACGUGCCAGCAGCCGCGGUAAUACGUAGGGUGCAAGCGUUAAUCGGAAUUACUGGGCGUAAAGCGUGCGCAGGCGGUUUUGUAAGACAGAGGUGAAAUCCCCGGGCUCAACCUGGGAACUGCCUUUGUGACUGCAAGGCUGGAGUGCGGCAGAGGGGGAUGGAAUUCCGCGUGUACAUGAAAUGCGUAAAUAUGCGGAGGAACACCGAUGGCGAAGGAAUCCCCUGGGCCUGCACUGACGCUCUGG
rnacentral:rRNA from 1 species